CGGACGGGUGAGUAACGCGUGGGUAACCUGCCUCACACAGGGGGAUAACAGUUGGAAAUGGCUGCUAAUACCGCAUAAGCGCACAGAGCUGCAUGGCUCAGUGUGAAAAACUCCGGUGGUAUAAGAUGGACCCGCGUUGGAUUAGCUUGUUGGUGGGGUAACGGCCCACCAAGGCGACGAUCCAUAGCCGGCCUGAGAGGGUGAACGGCCACAUUGGGACUGAGACACGGCCCAGACUCCUACGGGAGGCAGCAUG
rnacentral:rRNA from 1 species